GAUAAUGCUUCACUUUCCGUACGCGUGAGCCGCUCCCGGGGAGCGGACAGUCUGCCGGGCGAGGACCGGGCCAGAUGGGGACCGGGUCAGAUGGGGGCCGGGCGCGGCCAGGCCUGUGGGCGGGCGCCGGGACGAGCCGACUCCGAAGGUGAGCUACGCCAUGCCCAUGCCCACUCCCGGGCUACAGAAGGAAUUCACUGCGAGUGCCCCUCAUUCACUCGACAUUCACUGACAAGAUGGACUAACAGUACCAUUUACAGAAGAACAAAAACAGC